UACGAGGGCCUCAAGCGUUAUCCGGAAUUAUUGGGCGUAAAGGGCGUGUAGGCGGUAAUGUUAGUCUCAUGUAAAAGCCUGUCGCUUAACGACAGAUUGGCAUGGGAAACGGCAUAACUAGGAGGGUGCGAGAGGUGUAUGGAACUCACGGUGUAGGGGUGAAAUCCGUUGAUAUCGGGGGAACGCCAAAAGCGAAGGCAGUACACUGGCGCAUACCUGACGCUGAAACACGAAAGCCAGGGUAGCGAAUGGG
rnacentral:rRNA from 1 species